AAUCGAGAAAAGUGGCCAUCACUGCACUGGGCACCUCACCCUUUUUAACAGACAUCGCGAUACUAUAUUGCGUGGUAUGAAAUGCAGAGAAACUGCAAAACAAUAUCCACCAAAUAAUUCCCACAUACUCCUACAGCCGUCUGCAGUGCUGCUAUUCCUUAUAAUGCGUGCAGACAAAAACGUCAUGACUCUACCGGUCGGCUGUCCGUUCAAAUGGGUCUACAGUGGGCAGAAACGCUCCAAACGCGGGAUUAAAUAGUGAUCGGUGACUGAGCUGUCUGAAAAUUUGGAUUUCGGCUAAACUUGUGGUACUCUUUUAAGGUAUUAAUGUUGUAGACAUGUGACAGCAGGGAAACUUGGUGGUAAGAGUGAUAUUUUUCAAAAUGAUGGGGAAAGCACAAGAAAAAGUAACAAAAUUGCUUCAAAUGUUGGUUCAGUUUAUUUUAUUUAGAAAAUGUAAUGCAGAGAGAAAAUUUUUGGCGAUAUAUAGGUCAUUUUCGGAAUUAUAAACCCCUUAAAAAUGGUAAAUUUGAGAAAAAAUCAACUAAAAAUACGUGUUUUUUUUAACUACAAGUCUGGAGGGUCAUCCACAUCACUCUCCUCUCUAUCAAUAACAAGUGGCAUGGUUUUUAGCCCGCCCUUCUGCUUUGGAAAAGCUAUCUAGCGGGCUUAUGCGAACGACCUCGCGUCUGUCUGUCUGUUCCACCAAAAGGAGAUGUGUUGGGGACUUCAAAACGAAACGCCUACGGCAAAUCCUGGCAACCACCUCUAAGGGGCUGAAAGGGAGUAUCAAAGAAAAUGAAGCAGGUCAAAAAAAGUCAGCAAAAAAAAUAUUUUCAUGAUCUCUGAAGAGGUAACUCAUCAAAGUAGAGCCCUUUGGCCGAACAUUUUGUCCGUUUGGCUCUAUUUCUAACCGUUUAGGCGCUGGAGGGUCAUUUUUAACGAAAAUAAGGGCCCAUUUACGAUCGUCCGGGGUGUCUUAAAUGAAAUUGAAUUUCCAGCAGAAAUUCAUUAAUUUUUGGAGUUAAAUGGGACCCCCCAUUUACGGUGGUUCUUAGCUUAAAUAAUAUUUUAGUUCCCGCCAUGACAGAAUCGAUUGUCACUUGUCGUCGGCGCCAUCUUUGUUUAGUCUCGUCUUGGCCUCUGAUUGGCUGUUGCGAAACGUCGUGCCCGAAAUCCGAAUUUUAUUUAAGCUAAGGACUAGCUUAAAUGAAAUGAAGACCAUCACGACGGUCUUCAUUUCAUUUAAGCGUGAGCCGUAUUUCGACAUGAAAUGAAUUUCAUUUCAGGGGCUGGCAUCGUAGAUACUCCCAUAAGCCACAACGCGUUGGUCAAUUUAAUUUAAGAUUCCGCGAACGAUCGUAAAUGGGCCCUUAGCUAAAAAUUGCUGUAGUUAACAAUUAGUUGUAUAAGAAGGCCUGAAAACCGCAAAAGAGGAAGGAAACUCCCACACCCCACCCCAAAACCGUCGACGGUAUUGAGGCGUGUGAGGACCAAGUUAUGUCCCUCACGCACUGCUUCGAGGUGCUAGUGGAAAUAAUUUUUCUGACAGACAUUGAGUACAACGAGGACGUGUGCCUCUCAUGGAAGCUGCUUGCUGAGGUUGUCAUGGGCUGCCAUGAACCUGUGCCUAUGGUGCAGGAUAAGAAGAAGGUGAAGAAAGGACUUGGAAUGGGAAGGGGUGGGUCGUCGUUCCUAAUAGCGCAGAAGAUUCUGCUAGGGAGGCAAUGAAAGAAACAUCUUGGUGUAAUGGAUUGUCUCUAUUCACGUUCCAGGUUGUCAUGGGCUGCCAUGAACCUGUGCCUCUUGUGCACGAUAAGGAGAACGUGUUGAUGUGGAUUGCACAUUUUUUAUUAUUACUCUAUCAUUUUCGUGUCAUUAACUGUUGGUUGGCAUUGUACCAUUUCUGAAAUGUCACUGUACAAUGUGUAGUGUACUUCUGCCCCUGUUUUAAAACUGCAUCCAUGAAAUUAGCAAUUAAAGCACGUUACUGUCUUCCCACGCGGACUCCUUUUUCCGCUGUACCAGAUCCCCGCUGCAUCCGCUGCAGGCAGCCUGAACGACACAUGCAGAUCGCAGAAACAUAACACACAGAUUCUAAUUUCUGAUAAAAUAUUUAUUGAUUUCAUUUCAUUAUAUUUACAUACAUCAAAUAAUAAUUCAGCCCCUUACUCAUCAACUCCAAAACCUGUGACUAGACAUUUACGAGCAAUCCUACUUCUCUUGCGUAGAGGUGUACAAGGAAGCUCCCUGCCAGCAAUAUCCUCGGUAUUACCUUUUCGCUUCUUUAUUCCCAGUUGUCCAUGGAUAUGCUUGUUCAUAUUAUGCAUGAAGCGUAACUUGUCAGGAUUCUUACUCCCUCCACAGGCAGCCCUCUGCUGACUAAAAUACUGCUCAAGGUUUGUCUUCGCAGUAAACUCGAGCCAUUAUAAAUUUUGUACCUACUUCAGGUGACAAGAGGAAAUCCAGGGCUCCUUUAAACCCCCUGACAGUCAUUUCAAUUCCUCUCAAGGUAUGUGGACUGAGGAGCAUGGCAGCUUUCUCUUGUGGUGUGUACCCUGAGAGAGCGGCCACUUCUUCUUUCCAUUCUCUUAAGUACGUAAGGUAAUCCUCCAGUUUCUGAAAACGCUCAUCUUCCAUAGAUUUGUUAGGGGCUAAAUUAUUAUUCAAUUCCCGCCGAUGCUGAUCCGAAUGCGCACCAUGAAGGCAGUCAAAAAAUUCAUUGGUUUUACUUUAAAAGAGGUGUCUCUUUGGUAUUUGGCCAUUACAAUUCAUCUAAUGCAUUGGCCACACUUUGACUUAAAACUCUAAAAGCUAAUUUAGUUUGACAAGAAAAUCUGUUCAAAUACACACACACUGCAGUAAGUUUAUGAAGUUUCUUCACAGUUUGUGUUGAUUUCAACUUGAACAGAUCCACAAUUGUUGACCAUAAAAUAAAGUCUUCAUUUGGAGAUGGCUGCAACUCGUAUCAGACGGAUGAAGAUUACUGUAGUGGAGAUGAUGAAGCAAUUGCGGCCUGUCCUUCUAGUCGCUUCGAUCACACUUACUCCAAGCCAACUGAAUAUUAUCAGUGUACGCAGAGCGGGACCAAAAUAACAAGAGGGAGUCAAACUUAUACCACCAUUCAUAAAGUACCCAUACGGGAUUCUGUGGUUGGAGGAAGGAUUUGGAGCUAUGCUAGCACUUUACCUAAUUACUUCGAACUAUCCUUCCCAUCCGAGCUUUCACAGGUUGGAUCUUUGGAGCGCAUUCCUACAUCAACAACGCCAUGUGUGCCAACCCAGAGUCUGGAUGACACUGCAU